UUGUGGUGUCAAAACCAUUUUCGAAAGAGCGUGGAAUAGUAGAGUUCUUCUUCCUUUUAUUCCAAAAUGAGGGCUACGCGGCCGAAUCCUUCAAUCCGAGGCGAUCGAAGUGAGGCAGAGUUUCGUCCUGAGCAAUGAAGAUAGAGACCAAUCACUUUGAUCGUGGUUGUUCUAGCCAAGCCGCUUCGGAUCCAGCUAGCCCUUGAAAGGAUUAACUAAACAUAUCAUUACUUAAGCAAAGGUCUCGGCGUCCCCGACCUUGGGGCCUAGUCGCUGGCUUGAUGGCUAAUCAUCAGUCUAUGGUACUAAAGACCUUACCGGUCGGGUAAAGCUUGCGCGAAGGGAUUCGUUGAACAUAGUUCAACUCAUUCACUCUAAUAGUAGAAG
rnacentral:lncRNA from 1 species